rnacentral:lncRNA from 1 species
AAAGUCCCAGACAGAGACGAAAGUCUCCUUUCGGGGGCAACUUCGGCAGCCGAAAGGCCUGCCUCCACAAGGGGGUUCGGCGGCCGAAGCUCCCUUCGGCGGCCGAACCUGAGUUUCUCCCGAAUGGCAGAAACUCAGCUCCCCUAAGCACACUUCGCCUCCCAAGUUCAAAUCAUGCCUAAACUAGUUCUAAAACAUGCAUACAUACCAUACAUUACACCUAGGGGUCUCAAACUAGCAUAUACCCCAACUACAACACUUCAAACACACAACAUCAACA